UGGGGAAUUUUGGACAAUGGGCGCAAGCCUGAUCCAGCCAUGCCGCGUGCGGGAAGAAGGCCUUCGGGUUGUAAACCGCUUUUGUCAGGGAAGAAAUCUUCUGAGUUAAUACCUCGGGAGGAUGACGGUACCUGAAGAAUAAGCACCGGCUAACUACGUGCCAGCAGCCGCGGUAAUACGUAGGGUGCAAGCGUUAAUCGGAAUUACUGGGCGUAAAGCGUGCGCAGGCGGUUUUGUAAGACAGAGGUGAAAUCCCCGGGCUCAACCUGGGAACUGCCUUUGUGACUGCAAGGCUUGAGUGCGGCAGAGGGGGAUGGAAUUCCGCGUGUAGCAGUGAAAUGCGUAGAUAUGCAGAGGAACACCGAUGGCGAAGGCAAUCCCCUGGGCCUGCACUGACGCUCAUGCACGAAAGCGUGGGGAGCAAACAGGAUUAGAUACCCUGGUAGUCCACGCCCUAAACGAUGUCAACUGGUUGUUGGGAAGGUUCCUUCUCAGUAACGUAGCUAACGCGUGAAGUUGACCGCCUGGGGAGUACGGCCGCAAGGUUGAAACUCAAAUGAAUUGACGGGGUNUAGCUGUUUCCUG
rnacentral:rRNA from 1 species